rnacentral:rRNA from 1 species
UACGUAGGGUGCGAGCGUUUGUCCGGAAUUCUGAUGGGUGAGAACGGUCGUAGGCGGUUUGUCGCGGUCGGAAAGUGAAAACUUACAGCUUAACUGUGGGCGUGCUUUCGAUACGGGCAGACUUGAGGUAUGCAGGGGAGAACGGAAUUCCUGGAUGUAGCGGUGGAAUGCGCAGAUAUCAGGAGGAACACCGAUGGCGAAGGCAGAUCUCUGGGCCGUAACUGACGCUGAGGAGCGAAAGCGUGGGGAGCGAACAGG